AUUGAACGCUGGCGGCAUGCCUUACACAUGCAAGUCGAACGGUAACGGGCCUUCGGGUGCCGACGAGUGGCGAACGGGUGAGUAAUGCAUCGGAACGUACCUUUCAGUGGGGGAUAACGUAGCGAAAGUUACGCUAAUACCGCAUAUUCUGUGAGCAGGAAAGCAGGGGAUCGCAAGACCUUGCGCUGAUUGAGCGGCCGAUGUCAGAUUAGCUAGUUGGUGAGGUAAAGGCUCACCAAGGCGACGAUCUGUAGCGGGUCUGAGAGGAUGAUCCGCCACACUGGAACUGAGACACGGUCCAGACUCCUACGGGAGGCAGCAGUGGGGAAUUUUGGACAAUGGGGGCAACCCUGAUCCAGCCGUGCCGCGUGAGUGAAGAAGGCCUCGG
rnacentral:rRNA from 1 species